GACGAACUCUGGCGGCGUGCUUAACACAUGCAAGUCGAACGGAAAGGCCCUGCUUUUGUGGGGUGCUCGAGUGGCGAACGGGUGAGUAACACGUGAGUAACCUGCCCUUGACUUUGGGAUAACUUCAGGAAACUGGGGCUAAUACCGGAUAGGAGCUCCUGCUGCAUGGUGGGGGUUGGAAAGUUUCGGCGGUUGGGGAUGGACUCGCGGCUUAUCAGCUUGUUGGUGGGGUAGUGGCUUACCAAGGCUUUGACGGGUAGCCGGCCUGAGAGGGUGACCGGCCACAUUGGGACUGAGAUACGGCCCAGACUCCUACGGGAGGCAGCAGUGGGGAAUAUUGCACAAUGGGCGGAAGCCUGAUGCAGCAACGCCGCGUGCGGGAUGACGGCCUUCGGGUUGUAAACCGCUUUCGCCUGUGACGAAGCGUGAGUGACGGUAAUGGGUAAAGAAGCACCGGCUAACUACGUGCCAGCAGCCGCGGUGAUACGUAGGGUGCGAGCGUUGUCCGGAUUUAUUGGGCGUAAAGGGCUCGUAGGUGGUUGAUCGCGUCGGAAGUGUAAUCUUGGGGCUUAACCCUGAGCGUGCUUUCGAUACGGGUUGACUUGAGGAAGGUAGGGGAGAAUGGAAUUCCUGGUGGAGCGGUGGAAUGCGCAGAUAUCAGGAGGAACACCAGUGGCGAAGGCGGUUCUCUGGGCCUUUCCUGACGCUGAGGAGCGAAAGCGUGGGGAGCGAACAGGCUUAGAUACCCUGGUAGUCCACGCUGUAAACGGUGGGUACUAGGUGUGGGGUCCAUUCCACGGGUUCCGUGCCGUAGCUAACGCUUUAAGUACCCCGCCUGGGGAGUACGGCCGCAAGGCUAAAACUCAAAGGAAUUGACGGGGCCCCGCACAAGCGGCGGAGCAUGCGGAUUAAUUCGAUGCAACGCGUAGAACCUUACCUGGGUUUGACAUGGAUCGGGAGUGCUCAGAGAUGGGUGUGCCUCUUUUGGGGUCGGUUCACAGGUGGUGCAUGGCUGUCGUCAGCUCGUGUCGUGAGAUGUUGGGUUAAGUCCCACAACGAGCGCAACCCUUGUUCACUGUUGCCAGCACGUUAUGGUGGGGACUCAGUGGAGACCGCCGGGGUCAACUCGGAGGAAGGUGGGGAUGACGUCAAGUCAUCAUGCCCCUUAUGUCCAGGGCUUCACGCAUGCUACAAUGGCUGGUACAGAGAGUGGCGAGCCUGUGAGGGUGAGCGAAUCUCGGAAAGCCGGUCUCAGUUCGGAUUGGGGUCUGCAGCUCGACCUCAUGAAGUCGGAGUCGCUAGUAAUCGCAGAUCAGCAACGCUGCGGUGAAUACGUUCCCGGGGCUUGUACACACCGCCCGUCAAGUCAUGUAAGUUGGUAACACCCGAAGCCGGUGGCCUAACCGUUGUGGGGGAGCCGUCGAAGGUGGGACUGGUGAUUAGGACUAAGUCGUAACAAGGUAGCCGUACCGGAAGG
rnacentral:rRNA from 1 species